GCUACUACGUGCAGCAGCGCGUAUACGUAGGUGCGAGCGUAUCGAUACUGGCGUAAAGCGUGCGCAGCGUGUGCAAGACAGAUGUGAAAUCCCCGGGCUCAACCUGGGAACUGCAUUUGUGACUGCACGACUAGAGUACGGCAGAGGGGGGUAGAAUUCCACGUGUAGCAGUGAAAUGCGUAGAGAUGUGGAGGAAUACCGAUGGCGAAGGCAGCCCCCUGGGCCGAUACUGACGCUCAUGCACGAAAGCGUGGGGAGCAAACAGGAUUAGAUACCCUGGUAGUCACGCCCUAAACGAUGUCAACUAGUUGUUGGUAGGGUUAAACCUAUUAGUAACGUAGCUAACGCGUGAAGUUGACCGCCUGGGGAGUACGGUCGCAAGAUUAAAACUCAAAGGAAUUGACGGGGACCCGCACAAGCGGUGGAUGAUGUGGAUUAAUUCGAUGCAACGCGAAAAACCUUACCUACCCUUGACAUGUCAAGAAUCCCUGAGAGAUUAGGGAGUGCCGCAAGGAACUUGAACACAGGUGCUGCAUGGCUGCCGUCAGCUCGUGUCGUGAGAUGUUGGGUUAAGUCCCGCAACGAGCGCAACCCUUGUCAUUAGUUGCCAUCAUUUAGUUGGGCACUCUAAUGAGACUGCCGGUGACAAACCGGAGGAAGGUGGGGAUGACGUCAAGUCCUCAUGGCCCUUAUGGGUAGGGCUUCACACGUCAUACAAUGGUCGGUACAGAGGGUCGCUAACCCGCGAGGGGGUGCCAAUCUCAGAAAGCCGAUCGUAGUCCGGAUCGUAGUCUGCAACUCGACUACGUGAAGUCGGAAUCGCUAGUAAUCGCGGAUCAGAAUGCCGCGGUGAAUACGUUCCCGGGUCUUGUACACACCGCCCGUCACACCAUGGGAGUGGGUUUCACCAGAAGUAGCUAGCCUAACCGUAAGGGGGGCGGUUACCACGGUGAGAUUCAUGACUGGGGUGAAGUCGUAACAAGGUAACCAAUC
rnacentral:rRNA from 1 species